AACGCUAGCCUACAGGCUUAACACAUGCAAGUUCGAGGGGCAGCAUGGUCUUAGCUUCGCUAAGGCCGAUGGCGACCGGCGCACGGGUGAGUAACACGUAUCCAACCUGCCGUCUACUCUUGGACAGCCUUCUGAAAGGAAGAUUAAUACAAGAUGGCAUCAUGAGUCCGCAUGUUCACAUGAUUAAAGGUAUUCCGGUAGACGAUGGGGAUGCGUUCCAUUAGAUAGUAGGCGGGGUAACGGCCCACCUAGUCUUCGAUGGAUAGGGGUUCUGAGAGGAAGGUCCCCCACAUUGGAACUGAGACACGGUCCAAACUCCUACGGGAGGCAGCAGUGAGGAAUAUUGGUCAAUGGGCGAGAGCCUGAACCAGCCAAGUAGCGUGAAGGAUGACUGCCCUAUGGGUUGUAAACUUCUUUUAUAAAGGAAUAAAGUCGGGUAUGGAUACCCGUUUGCAUGUACUUUAUGAAUAAGGAUCGGCUAACUCCGUGCCAGCAGCCGCGGUAAUACGGAGGAUCCGAGCGUUAUCCGGAUUUAUUGGGUUUAAAGGGAGCGUAGAUGGAUGUUUAAGUCAGUUGUGAAAGUUUGCGGCUCAACCGUAAAAUUGCAGUUGAUACUGGAUAUCUUGAGUGCAGUUGAGGCAGGCGGAAUUCGUGGUGUAGCGGUGAAAUGCUUAGAUAUCACGAAGAACUCCGAUUGCGAAGGCAGCCUGCUAAGCUGCAACUGACAUUGAGGCUCGAAAGUGUGGGUAUCAAACAGGAUUAGAUACCCUGGUAGUCCACACGGUAAACGAUGAAUACUCGCUGUUUGCGAUAUACUGCAAGCGGCCAAGCGAAAGCGUUAAGUAUUCCACCUGGGGAGUACGCCGGCAACGGUGAAACUCAAAGGAAUUGACGGGGGCCCGCACAAGCGGAGGAACAUGUGGUUUAAUUCGAUGAUACGCGAGGAACCUUACCCGGGCUUAAAUUGCAGAUGAAUUACGGUGAAAGCCGUAAGCCGCAAGGCAUCUGUGAAGGUGCUGCAUGGUUGUCGUCAGCUCGUGCCGUGAGGUGUCGGCUUAAGUGCCAUAACGAGCGCAACCCUUGUUGUCAGUUACUAACAGGUUCCGCUGAGGACUCUGACAAGACUGCCAUCGUAAGAUGUGAGGAAGGUGGGGAUGACGUCAAAUCAGCACGGCCCUUACGUCCGGGGCUACACACGUGUUACAAUGGGGGGUACAGAGGGCCGCUACCACGCGAGUGGAUGCCAAUCCCCAAAACCUCUCUCAGUUUCGGACUGGAGUCUGCGAACCCGACUCCUCGAAGCUGGAUUCGCUAGUGAAUCGCGCUUCAGCCUCGGCGCGGUAAAUUACGUUUCCCGGGCCU
rnacentral:rRNA from 1 species